rnacentral:rRNA from 1 species
AACGAACGCUGGCGGCAGGCUUAACACAUGCAAGUCGAACGCCCCGCAAGGGGAGUGGCAGACGGGUGAGUAACACGUGGGAACAUGCCCAAAGGUACGGAACAACUCCGGGAAACUGGAGCUAAUACCGUAUGUGCCCGAAAGGGGAAAGAUUUAUCGCCUUUGGAUUGGCCCGCGUCGGAUUAGCUAGUUGGUGGGGUAAAAGCCUACCAAGGCGACGAUCCGUAGCUGGUCUGAGAGGACGACCAGCCACACUGGGACUGAGACACGGCCCAGACUCCUACGGGAGGCAGCAGUGGGGAAUCUUGGACAAUGGGCGAAAGCCUGAUCCAGCCAUGCCGCGUGGAUGAUGAAGGCCCUAGGGUUGUAAAAUCCUUUCGUUGGGGACGAUAAUGACGGUACCCAAAGAAGAAGCUCCGGCUAACUUCGUGCCAGCCGCCGCAGUAACAC